GUCAGCUGUGCUGCUCUCGCUCUGUGGGACGGGGUUGGAAGCUGAAGAUGGGAAAUCACUUGUGUGUGAUCCUUUAUCUGCUUCAUCUCACAGCUACUGCUGCCCUCCUGGCUGUUUGUAGCAGCCAGAGAGCACCUAAUUCUUGUAUCCCAGACCUCAAACCUCAGCCCAGCAGCCUCCAAGGAAUCCUCCCUGCUUGGGGUGCUGUUUGUGGGACUGCUGGUGGCUCUGGAUCCCAAGGAGCGUUCCCAUCCCAUCACCACCGGCUGCCAGCUUCGGGAUCACGGCCACCCAGGGAGUUGGACAUCAUGGAGCUGGACACACACCAGGGAGCUGACUUGUGUCUGACACCGAGUUCAGUCUCCAAACAUAAAAGAAGAGAAAGUCAGGACAGAAAAGCAUUGGAGCUUUCUUCUUCCUCCACACCUGCUGUUCCUGGUCGUCAGGCACUUCCAAAGAGGAGAGUUCUCCAAGUUCCCAGUCAUUACCCUUUACAUAAGCAUAAUAUAGUGCUGCACUUCCUACAGGGAAGCUAUCUAUUGUAGCAAUCUGUAAAACAAAAGCUGGAUUGCUCCUUCUCCCAUUGCUCCCAGAAUCAAAAAGCUGCCUGCUGUUCCUCAAAUGGGAAGGCUGAAAGCCUUCAUCAGAGGGUAGUUCAUUUUUACACGACAUUUUUACACUCAAGCAAAACUGAAAGCAAGGCAUAAUUUGAAACAGCCACGCUCGCCGUUAGAGCAGAACCACACAAAUAAAAUGCCUGGGAUGAUGGAGUUGAAUAUGUUGCAGUCAGAAAAAUGACAGUUUGCAGGGAACAAGGAAAACGAGAUGGAUGAAUGGGAAUUAGUGAGGAGCAGACUUCCAAGGCAGACAAAUCAAAUUGAGAGUGUGGAUCAUUAGAUUCAAAGGAAGCAGGUAAGGAGUGCACUAAAUUGUAUCUUAAACAACAAACCAAGGGCCCCAGGCUCCAGGGAGAGCACAUGGAACAGGGCUUGGGAUAUGGGAAUGGCUCCCAGGUGUGUCCUGGCCUUUGGGCAUUGUGACCUCACCCAGGUCACCUUGUGUCCUUCACAUCAGUUCCUGUGCUGUGGGCCAUGGCAGGCACUGGACAUAGAGGAUGCUUUGGAGAUCUGCAGAUGUGCCCAGCUCCAGAUUAGACAGCUGAAGGCCUCCUGGAUGGCCUGUCUUGGCACCUGUCACCUUCCAGGGCUGUCACUGAUAUCCAUUGUAUGGAGCUGACUCUUUGCCUGUUUUUUUUUUCCCAGGAGGUGAAGAGAUAUACAAGGGUAGAAAUUACUGAGUUGUUGAAUUUUUAAAAAUUAACUGUGCACAAUUAUACCCAAGAAACACACUUCACAUACAGCAGCUCUUUGCAGAUGUGAGAAAAUGUGGCAUGGUUUGGACCUUCCUGGAAACAGCUGAGCUGGGGGAAUUUGUGUAUUUUAAAAAUAAAGCUCAUGUUUUUCUUGGACAAA